rnacentral:lncRNA from 1 species
GUGGAUAGGCAUCAUCGGUGUCGGGGUGCGAUUAGACCGACAUCGAGCUUGACUUGGGUUCACAUAAAUGAAAAAUAUUUGGGUGCCUAAAUGGUCAUCAUAAUUUUCAGUCCAUGCCUUUAUGAAGACUUCACACGUGCCCUAACCCCCUUCAGGCGCUCCCCUCCCUUCUCCACGCAUGCCCUAACCUUCUUGCCACCCCCACUCUGCUUGAUAAGUGCAUCCC